rnacentral:lncRNA from 1 species
CAAAGCGGGAGCCUAAUAGGCAUGGAAGAGCUCUGGAUUUUUCCUGACUAUGAAGAGACUUUUUUAUGCUAGAGAAUGCAUAUAAAAAUCUCCAUAUCCUGAUUAUUGCCAUCAUUAUAAAUAUAAAUUACUGCAGAAGGGCAAGAGAGGAGAGAAAAAGACUUUUGGAUUCAACUAAUGAGCAAUCAGGAAGAAAAAAAAAUUGA